CAACAUCAACAGAAAGACUGCAACAUUGGUCUUCAGCUUUGGAUCUCCUUCAGGAACAGCAAAAACUUCAAGAGGAACUGAACAAAAGCCGGCCGAUACUAUCUGCACAGAAGGCCUCAUCAACAUCAACAUCAACAGAAACACUGCAAC